GAUUAGAAUGUCAAACAAAGAGAAAAUCAUCCGUAUUAAUCGUCAAUAUCGUGUAUAUUAUUAAUAUGAGCGUCUUUGCGUUAAAUUCGUGCUACACCACACCAUGCACUUAUAUUGACGUCGCAAUGCAAAAGAAGAAGGGCAAGAAAGAAACCUGUCCUGGUCUGGUGAUUUAAGGGGACAUUUGUUUAAGGUAUGUAGUAAUAAUACAUUUUAAUAAUGCUGGGUGUGGGAUCAGUUAACUAGAAAUUUCGUUGAUAAUUAGCAAUGUAUGUACAGUAACUAGCUAGUUCACGUUAGAUAUUUUAUUCACGUGUCUGUGGUUAUUUUAGGUUUUUGAUAGUUAAUUUCACUGAUAGUUUGAGCCCGUGUAAAUUUCUUAAAAAGCUGUAAUUAUUAUUUUAUUUAACAUUAUUAUGUUUGCUGUCAAGACUGAUAUUUAUUUAUAUAUAUAUUUAUUGACGUUGAUAUGUAAACUUAACCUACUCAGUUGUACUUGACUAAUGCAAUAAUGACAGGUCCACCUGUUUAAGUAUAUUGUAAAACAUUUGAACAUAACAACAUUUGGACAUAACAUACACACAUUGUUUCCGCCUGCAUCAAUUUAGUUGUAUAGCUGCAUUGCUGGUUAACACCUCUGGGCAGAUUCUCCAUGUUCUUCUUUCAUGUGUAGCUGCUCACCUUAAACAGAUACAGUACAUUGAAGUAAUGUUUUAAACAAAUUAAGCCCUAUAAUAUUGUUUAUGUUUACAAUAAUUGGUAAAAAGUUUGACGGAUAAAAUGGUUCUUACCAUUCUCUAUAUAAGCCCCUCUGUCUGUUAACUUUUGUUUGAGCCUGUCUAGAUCUUUUAUCAGUCUAGAAAGAUGUUGGAGAAAAGACAUCAUCCUCUUCUAUAAUCUCCAUCUGUAAUUGGACUAAGAACUGGACCAGUGAAUGCAGGCAACUUACUCUCCAUUCGACCUUGCAGGUCACACCAUGGUCUCAAGAGGGAAAAUGAGUGCUCUAUGGAUUGAACAGAAAAAGGUGAAUCAAAACUCCAACCAUCUGUAUGAGGGUCUGGAUGGAUAAAGGAUGCCCACUGGAGCUGGAAAUGAUGGAUCAGGUGGAUCCACACUUGAACCAUCUGUAUGAUGAUCUGCACCCACUGGAUCUGUAAAUGGUGGUGCAGAGACCAAGUGUAGUAGGGUACACUACUAUGCAGGUGACAUUCUUUUGUUUAUUGAAGCUAUGACAAAUAAUUUGUCUGUUUAGUUAAUGUUUUAUACAGUGUAACUGUACCUAAACAUUGUUCCUUGAGGUCCUCUGCUAUUUACAUUUUGUAUGUCUUCCUUAUUUAACACACCUUAUUCAAAUCAUCAGCUCAUUAGUAGAGAUCUUCAUGAACUGAACUGAGGCUGUGUCCAAAUGUUCACACUUGUUGUCUUUGCACUAGACUACUUACAUUACGGUUUUUUUUGUAUUUGGCCUAAAUAUUCUAGUGGGCGUGAAGAUCCCAAGCGUGCAUGUAGAAUUAUUCAUCCGAUGGGACACACUUAGCAUGGGUAAAAAUUUCAAUCCAGGUAGUGCCAGCAAUUUGCACCAAAACGUAUUUGUGUUUUAUUUACUACUUUUAAUUUAUAUUUAACAUUUUUAAGUUUUUCUGUAAAUAAAAUGAACACUCUGAAAUGAACAUUUGCUUAUAUCAAACUUUUAGAUGCAGAAUUCUUUGCUCCUGUAAAAAAGCUCUUUGUUUUGAGUAUGUAGCUUUAUUAAAGUGUAUUAUUUAUUCAGUAGUCCCUAAAUAAACGACACAAUGUUGCAGAUGUUUCACAAAAUGCAUAACAAUAAUGCAGUGAACACCAUAGAAAUGUUAACAUACAAUUAAAAGUCUCAUGCUUUACAUCCAGAACAUGAUGCACGAUAGGAUGCACAAAGUGAUAUUUGGACGCAGCCUCAGUCUGUCAAAUCAAAGAGACAUACAGAAUGCACAGAGCAGUGGGACUCCAUGAACAGAGUUGAG